GCAAGUCUUCCUCAUUACUAGUAAAUAUGUGUUUCUUCUGCAGGUUGCAGCCCAGGACAGAUACUCUGUUGAAAGCGCUGGUUGCUCGGCAAGUGGACUCGAAACCAAAGCUAUUGGAAGCUUGGAAGAAAGACCCUUCAUAUCUCUUAUCAGCAUAUCAGAGCUGGGUACCUGAAUCAGCUCAUAAUGAUGUCGCACUUUCUUGGCCACCUGUGUAAUUUUGUCAAAAUGAAUUAUCUGUAAAAAAAAUUUUAAGGUAUGCAUCCUGUUGUGGAGAUGGAAUGUCAACCUAACGAUUUGUAAAUAACUGAACAAGCAGAAUGAUUUUUUGGAGUAUAUUUAUCGUCUUUGAUUUCAAAGGCCAUUACAAAAAAAAUACUGUUGACGACA